rnacentral:hammerhead_ribozyme from 1 species
CUCCAUCUGACGAGUCCUAAAUAGGACGAAACGCGCUUCCUAG